rnacentral:lncRNA from 12 species
AUCCGUGGAAACAUCUGAAGUCAUUCAGCAAAUUCUGAAGGAAAUGCAGCAUGGAAAACAAGUAGUGAAAGGAGAGGCUCUGCUUAAGGAAGCAUUUAGCAGAGGAAGCAGUGGUUCAGUGCCAGUAUCCAUUGCUGGAAGGGAGGUGAUGCCAGGCACAGGCACAGGAGAUGGGGUUGCUGGGAAGGUUUCUCCUUUAGCCUGGCGGUAUGAAGUUGUGAAGCCCUCUGGGCCUCCUGCAGGUGUGUCUGCAGGGAGGAUUUCUCCAACUCCUGUCCUGAUUGCUGCACACAAGCCCAGCUCCCAUCUCAGGGGUGAGUAGUGGGUUCCUGCUGAACCCACAGGCUGAGCACUGCUUU